rnacentral:rRNA from 1 species
GAUGAACGCUGGCGGCGUGCCUAAUACAUGCAAGUCGAGCGAACAGACGAGGAGCUUGCUCCUCUGACGUUAGCGGCGGACGGGUGAGUAACACGUGGAUAACCUACCUAUAAGACUGGGAUAACUUCGGGAAACCGGAGAUAAUACCGGAUAAUAUAUUGAACCGCAUGGUUCAAUAGUGAAAGACGGUUUUGCUGUCACUUAUAGAUGGAUCCGCGCCGCAUUAGCUAGUUGGUAAGGUAACGGCUUACCAAGGCAACGAUGCGUAGCUGACCUGAGAGGGGGACAGGCAACAGUGGAAGUGGGACACGGCCUAGACUCCUACGGGAGGCACAAGUGGGGAAUUUUGGACAAUGGGAGAAAGCCUGAUGCAGAAAUGCCGCGUGAGUGAAGAAGGACUUCGGUUUGUAAAGCACUUUUGUCAGGAAAGAAAGCCUGGGCCCUAAUACGGUCGGGGGAUGACGGUACCGGAAGAAUAAGCAAGGGCUAACUACGUG